rnacentral:misc_RNA from 1 species
UUUUGUUCACAGGCUGCUGCUCAUGGCGGGGGAUUUGAUAGUUGAAAUAUUACAAUAACCGAAUAGAAGUCAUGUGGAAUGUGUUUGUGCCUUCCUGUAUACUUAAUCGAAAAUCGGGUAAACUUUAUGGAAGAGUUAUAGGGGAAGAGAGAUUAGUUCUUAUUGAUGAAGACAGUGUGCAUGCUACACAUGGUGACAAAUCAAUAGGUACAUUCAGGAAGCUAGUUGAGGAAGAGUCAAAUGAAAAUAAAAACAAAAUAAAAAGAUUUAAUAAAUGUAUUUUUAUUGAUUUGUGUUGCAACACUGAUGGAGAUAUUAGUUGUGAUAUUAUAAAUAAUUCUGAAAAACUUGAGUGCAACGUAGUGGUUUUUGAACCCCAGCAGUUUGUUGACUCAUAUUUUCUAAAUUGGAACAAGUUGACAGAAACCAAAAGUGAAAACAUUGUAGACACUUUGUCCAGAUUGUUGAGCUUGGUUGAUUUGAAUGAGGCAAGGACAGUUCUCCUUCAGAAACUGCAAUGUAUGGUGAUAUUUUUAUUCCAGAUUAUCGGAUAUCUCCUAGAUAACAGGGUUGCUAGACUUGGACCCCUCAAGUUUGUUGCAAGUUGUUCCUCAUUACUGGAUCAUCAGAUCUCUAGGAGACAAGAAUACCUGAAUGCCAGAGGAGGUGACCACCGCUUGUCAAGGACACAACUUGGGUGAGAUUUAUGGAUUGGUUUUGAUUUACCCCUCCAGUUUUCAAUUAGAAUCCCAUACUUUUGAAUUUAUAUUAUAAAUAAAAGAAGAAUUUCAAUUUAUGCUGCUCAUUUUUUCUUUUUUGAUUUGCAGAUUAGCAAAUGUGUGUUUGAGACAAUUUUUGGACACAAUGCUUGGGAUGACAGUAAUGUACGUUUUCUUUCACAACAACCUGUCUGAUCAACUAGCAGCAGACAUCAUCACCUGGGCCUAUGCUGUUGCUGACUAUCUCUAUUCGCUAGUCACAUGGUUGAUGGGUGCUCCAGCAGGACUGAAACUAAACAAGCAACUGACUGAAUUUUUAGGACACUUCUUCCUCUACCAUAUACACUUAUGGAAAGGAUAUCUAGUAAUCUUACAGCCAGUGUUAAGCAGUGUGCUGUGGUCUGCGUCCCUGUUAGGGGUACUGGGAUUGACUUCACAGUUGUGCUUUCUACGAGAUGUGUUGUCUAUGAUGACCUUGCACAUAUACUGCUUCUAUGUUUAUGCUGCUAGAAUAUACCAGUUCCAAGUGUAUGCGCUGUCAGCUUUCUGGCGUCUAUUUAGAGGGAAGAAAUGGAACAUGCUGCGCCAGCGUUUGGAUUCAGUUCGUUACAACGUGGAUCAACUUUUCCUAGGAACUCUUCUAUUUACCAUACUUCUCUUCACACUACCAACAUUUGCGUUAUAUUAUGUUGUCUUUACAUUGCUCCGUCUUAUUGUAUUGACAGCUCACCAAGCAAUCCACACUAUCGUACAGACAAUUGACAUUUUCCCGCUGUUUUCGGUAGUGAUGUGGUGUUUAAACUUUAGACAAAUGACAGGAGAUGUUUUAUUCACUUGUGUUACACAGAAAUCCAGCAAUUUGUUACCUGUAUUUUCACUCCAAAUAAUACAGAUGCCAAUAAGAAAACUCCUCUCAAGAUCUGAAAAUCCAUUUAGAAAAGCACAGGAAAAGAAAUACCUCUGGAGCAGUUUAAUUGGGGAUCUUGUAUGGGGACGUUUAAUUUAUCCAUGGGUAGAAGUUUCUCAUCCCUAAUAAAAUUUGUUUUAUG